AGUAGAGUCGGCUAAUAUUAAGCUUUUGGGCCCAUACCCCAACAAUGUAGGUUUAAACCCUCCCUCUACUA
rnacentral:tRNA from 1 species